CGGAGUAUAGGCGAUCAGUCUGGUUCAUAAAAUGGUCCAGGAACGUCUGCUUGAGACUAUCGAAGGAGUUGAUGGUGCCGGGGUGGAGCCUGUAUAACCAAUUCAGGGCCGCGCCGCUGAGGGUGGAAGGGAAAAGGAGGCACAUGCCUUCAUCAGUGAGGCCCUUGCACCCAAGGGCAGACUGGAAGGAGUGGAUGUGGGUGAGAGGGUCCUCCGUGCCAGUGUAGAAAGCGAUGCGGAGGGGCUGGAUAUCUUUCUCCUGGUGGUAGUGGAGGAUGCGUUCGGUAAAG
rnacentral:lncRNA from 1 species